rnacentral:lncRNA from 1 species
CCACAGAUCAUGUAUAACAUUCUUUAAACUUUUUUUGGUUUAAUAGUAUUUGAGGGCUUUUAGAAUGACCAAUGUCUUUGCUUUUGUGUUGGUUGUUGUACCUAAGUCAUGUGCCUCUGCCACAACAUAAUUCAAAUUUUCUAUGCUAUUUUUGAGGCAAAAACCAUAUGAGCUCUACCCUAAAUUUCCUUUGCUACGCAUAUUAGUGUUGUAUUUUAAUCCUCCAC